CCAGGUAAUGUCUCAGGAUAUAACCAGGUUAUAACCUGGUUAUAACCAGGUAAUGUCUCAGGUUAUAACCAGGUUAUAACCAGGUAAUGUCUCAGGAUAUAAC